AGACUUAUCUGGCAGGGGAGAUACCAUGAUCACAAAAGUAGUUUUCCCAGGAUGAGGCUUAUCCACUGGACUCGGGAUGUGCUGACCCCCUGCUAUUUUCCCCAAAUGUGGAAGCAUAACAGCAUCAUUUGUAGUAGUGGGAGACUGUGUUUGCUCUCCUCUAG